rnacentral:lncRNA from 1 species
GUUCCAAAGUAUGGUUAAGUUGUAGGUCAAGUUCUACUGAAACAUAAAAUCAUUACUAGAGAAAGGUUAAGGCAUUGAAUCCACCGUCAAAAUUAUUCUUUUUGGAAUCAACAAGGUACUUUCUGACUUCUAUUCUCAGCAGGUAUCCUGCCAUGUAACUAUUAAUGAUUAGUUUUAAUAAGCCAGUAGUCUUAGGUUUAUUGGACUAUGCUCUUGGGUUGUGGCCUACCAUCCAUUAUUCUCUUAGUAUUUAAAAUGGAGUAAAUGCU